rfam:Schistosoma mansoni strain Puerto Rico chromosome 5, complete genome
AUCCAGCUGACGAAUCCUAAAUAGCACGAAACGCGCGUCAAACUGGAU